AGCUCUGUAGUUCAACGGUCAGAAUUAAGGACUCCAAAUCCUUCGAUCAGGGUUCGAUUCCCUGCGGAGCUGCCA
rnacentral:tRNA from 1 species